GGAACUUGGCACACCGGGACACCCCACGUUCCACUUACACAAGGAUCACAAAGCUAUAUAGGGCAAACAACACCUCUAACUAAGGAGUGCAGGAUGACGUCGGCAUCAACCAUGACGAACAGCCAGAACAUCGCCCAAGCCACAGAAGCUCUAGAGCGAGACAUGCAAGCGUGGGACCUCUCAGACUCCCCACCGCCUGCGCUGCUAAUCCAGACCCCACCACCUCCUCCCCCUCUCCUCA